UUGGCCAAACACCAACACAAACAGUUGAGAGGAAUAUCAUCACACACCUCACGUGAAACAUGAUUGUAUUCUCUCAGUCGGUGAUUUCUUUCUAUUUUUUGUCGCAAAAAUGUUUGGCUUAAUACAUACCAACCUCCAUCUAUCCCUAUUUAUUUGUCAUAUUUGAAUGGUAGAAGAUUCUCAAUAAAAUGAUUAGUUUCAUUAAUUUUAAAGUCAAAUUAUUUAUACACAUUAUUUUAAGAGGUUAAAAUGGAAUAUAUUAUCACAAAAGACAUGUCAACUAGGAGAAGGUGAAAAAUUAAAUUACAGCAGUGAAGUACAUCAAAAUGUUUUGUCACCAAACCUUGUAGUGAAAAUCGAAGGACAUAAGCUUCGAUUUAAACCACCAAACGCUAAAAUUUUAACUUACUCAAUGAUGGAAUGAAUAGUUUUCUUCUUAUGUUGAUACACUUGUUUCUCUCUUUUCAGAUAACGUAAACAACUACUAGCCAAAUCAUCUUGAAAGCUAAACAAAUGUUUUUUGAAAAAGCUCCCAAACCACAGAAGUGAUGAAGAUGUGAUAAAAUGUUACGAGAUGAUGUCGAACAAAUCCCUAACCAGCCACAAAUCAAAUAUCAAAUAUUACCAUAAAAAACACAAGUAACAAACAUAUGAUCUCUAUCCUCAGUACACCCACAUCCGCCUGUACAAAGUUGAUCAUUAAUGGAAAGCACUUGACGUCUCAUUAAGUUGUUUUUGGUAGGAAGACGAUUCUGAAACAAAACGCCAAGCAAACAUAGAGACCUUUAACGAGACCUUCUUAAUCCACAGAAUAUGAUAGAAAUCGUUGUAACCGUUGUCCACCACAUCAUGAUCUAACACCUGGGUCAGUAGCUAAUAGGCGCUACUCACAGUGUAUCUAGAAGAUUAAUGAAAUCUCCACCUCCACCUAUCCUCCACAUCAACGCGUAAAACAACAAUAUAUAACAAAUCGACACACUCCCUCACCAUCUCCUCCUCCCAAGCAAACAAUCUAUGUCUCCACUUCCAAGUUUCCCCAUUUACCCCCCCCCCCCCCAACCUAAGUAGAACAUGUCAGCUACAAAAACAAAUGUAUUCUCUACCAGAUCAAAAAAUCUAAGGAACCUAGUCAACAACAACACUCUUUCUAACCAUGUGUCCUUCCAAAACAGAGUGGAAGAGCCACCACCCACCAGCCUAAAGGAAAAUCGAAUUCAAAACAGAAUAAGCAGCAGGUAAAAUUUUUCGAUUUUCUUUCCUUAGAUCAUUACGAAUUACACAUGAAUCAGUGAUUCGAUUGUUACCUCGAAGUGUGAAAUCUGAUAGUUGGAAACUGAAAACUGGAAUCACGAUCACAGUAAAGCAAGCAGUAAGCAGCAAAGCCUCUAGCAAGUCCACACGAACAGUGUUCCUCAAAAACUCGGUGCUAGUCAAGGAAUCAGAAGUUUCAGAGAGCUAGGGUUUCUCCAAAAACGUGCAAUCUCAAACUUCAGCAUUAGGGUUCUAUUUAUAGAACUCCUUGUGUGCUCUGCAAGUCAGAAGUCACAAUUGGGUUUCAGUAAGCCCAAUAACGUGUUUAGUAAUUCUGAUAACUAAUUAGCGUUGUUUACUAAACGCACCCCUUAUAUAAGUCAUACUUAUAUAUUUCUCUUUAGACUGUUCU
rnacentral:lncRNA from 1 species